rnacentral:rRNA from 1 species
UACGAAGGGGGCGAGCGUUGUUCGGAUUUACUGGGCGUAAAGGGCGCGUAGGCGGCGCAACAAGUCAGGCGUGAAAGCCCCGGGCUCAACCUGGGAGGUGCGCUUGGGACUGUUGGGCUUGAGUUCGGGAGAGGAGCGUGGAAUUCCCAGUGUAGAGGUGAAAUUCGUAGAUAUCAGGAAGAACACCGAUGGCGAAGGCAGUUCUCUGGGACGGUACUGACGCUGAGACGCGAAAGCGUGGGGAGCGAACAGG